AUUCCAGUCAGCCACAACCUGGACACUCCCACCACAAGUGAGAUGAGUCCUCCUGCCAAGAGGAGACAUGUGCAGCCUGCAGUGGAGGUUCUCCAGUGAAUCCAAAAAGAAGGAACCUGUGAGCUGUCCUGCAGUCAUCAAAAGCUACAAUUCCAACAUGGGGGGGAUUGACAAGAGCGACAUGUUGGUGCACCUGUACCGCACCCCCAUGAAGUCCAAGAGGAAGAAGCUCUGACAGUCUGAGAGCUGCCUUUGAUGUUCCCAAGCCAGUCCGAGGACAUCGCUGCUCCAACCCCACUGAGGCUGUGCGUUUCGACCACUCCGUGUUCCACGUUCCUGUCUACACUCAUCGCCAAACAUGCAAGUACUGCAGCAGGAAAGACAACAUUGCAAGGUCCAAUGUUUUCUGCGGGGUUUGCAAGGUCCAUCUCUGCCUAAAUGCAACACGCAACUGCUUUGCUGAGUACCACAACCCUAAAUAAAGAUAGUCAAUAGAUAUUUAGAAGGCAGUAAG